rnacentral:rRNA from 1 species
CCUACGGUGGGCAGCAGUAGGGAAUCUUCCACAAUGGGCGAAAGCCUGAUGGAGCAACGCCGCGUGGGUGAAGAAGGUCUUCGGAUCGUAAAACCCUGUUGUUAGAGAAGAAAGUGCGUGAGAGUAACUGUUCACGUUUCGACGGCAUCUAACCAGAAAGCCACGGCUAACUACGUGCCAGCACCCGCGGUAAUACGUAGGUGGCAAGCGUUAUCCGGAUUUAUUGGGCGUAAAGGGAACGCAGGCGGUCUUUUAAGUCUGAUGUGAAAGCCUUCGGCUUAACCGGAGUAGUGCAUUGGAAACUGGGAGACUUGAGUGCAGAAGAGGAGAGUGGAACUCCAUGUGUAGCGGUGAAAUGCGUAGAUAUAUGGAAGAACACCAGUGGCGAAAGCGGCUCUCUGGUCUGUAACUGACGCUGAGGUUCGAAAGCGUGGGUAGCAAACAGGAUUAGAUACCCCAGUAGUC